UACGUAGGGUGCAAGCGUUAAUCGGAAUUACUGGGCGUAAAGCGCGCGCAGGCGGUUUUGUAAGACAGGCGUGAAAUCCCCGGGCUUAACCUGGGAAUUGCGCUUGUGACUGCAAAGCUGGAGUGCGGAAGAGGGGGAUGGAAUUCCGCGUGUAGAGGUGAAAUUCGUAGAUAUGAGGAGGAACACCGAUGGCGAAGGCAAUUCCCUGGGCCUGCACUGACGCUCAUGUGCGAAAGCGUGGGGAGCAAACACG
rnacentral:rRNA from 1 species